CUAUGGGCUACAGCACAAGUAGAAGAAAAAAAUCCAGCUAAAAGCUUUUCCGGUCUGCUAGCCUUAAUUUCCUCUAAAGACGUCUCUCGCAGAGAGGAGAGGAGGACGCACACAGGCAGACUGACAGACCAACGGUUGUAAUUGCACCGGUGGUCACCGAGAAGACUAAUCUUCACUCUUAUCUUGUACUGAAGGAUAUGGUUUCUUUAGGAGAGGCAUGAACCGCGGAGCAGUGCUUCUCGGCGGCCUGUGCCGGGAAAUGUGUCCGCCGUGGGUGUGAGGGAGAGCGGAAUGGUCUGCCUGGACGGAACGCACUGGUCUCGCACGGCCGCUCCAGUCUCCGGUAUCCACGCGCUCCCGACUGCGCCAAUCGAGCGCCGCUCGGUCCAUAGCGGUGUGAUUUGUUUCACGGACGGCCUCAAACACAUUGGGCAGCCCACUUGUCUUUUAUCGUUACAUAAUUGAAACUGAAUGUAUGUGUCGCUCCCGUAACACGGACUGAUUCUCAGGCAGGGAGGCAGAGAUGUGUGUGUGACACUGUGUGUGUGCGCCUGUGCUGGAUUCGGGGGCAGGGCUGUCUGUCUGUCUGUAACCGAUCUACCCGCCGAGUGGACCGGACUGGACUGUGCAUUAAUUGUACUAGUGCAUAAAUUAACCACGGGCCAGCCCAACGUGAACCCUGGGUGGAAACCCGAGUCCAACGGGCAAUGAGGGGAACAGCUUUGCCUCUCUUUACUUCUCUGGCCCUCGGUCUGAUCGUUUUGUGUUUCUGCCAGAAGCAUCUGGAAAGGAUAACACGGGGAUCCAUCCACUCCCCCAGAAAGUAGACUGGAGAAUAAAUCACAUCCUGGAUGGAGGAGCAUCCUUACUUCUAGAAAUGAUGGAUACAGUUGUCUCGAAUUCCAGCUUCCUGCUCAUGGCCUACUGCUAAUUUUAGAGGUGUAAAUUAUGGGAUGGAAAACUGGGUUUUAUUCUUUAUAAUAAUAACCUACAACUGGAAGUGUUUGUUAAAGUUAUUACACUGCUAUUAAUUACUUCCAUUGUUGAUUAGUUAUUACUGUUUUUCAUUUCUCUCAUUUUGCCAUUGGAUUGGCAAUGACCUAUUCACCCUGGCCACCAAUGCAUGUAACUAAGGAUAACUGGAUAACUGUGGUCCUCGCCCUCCAUCGAUUUUAGGCCGAGUUGAAGGAAUACAACAUCCUUUUCCCUAACUCUGAAACCACAACAAGUUGAAAUCACUAAGCCUCUGUGACAUGUCCUUGUAUCCAGGCAACGGAAUGUGACUGUAACAACCUUCUCCCUUUCUCUAACUUCUAAACUCUGUUGAAACUACACAUGCAGUGAAGAUGUGUGCAGCCAGGUUCAGCAGCAGCAGUAGCGUCAACGGGGACCGGGAUGAGACCACUACUAAUGGACCCGGUACGGGCCCGGCCACCACAUCCCGCAUGCUGGACUGGUCCGAGGAGGGCACCCGCAUCCUCCACAGCCUCGAGAUUGGAACGGUCAUGACCGUGUUCUACCAGAAGAAGUCCCAGCGACCGGAGAGGAGGACCUUCCAGAUACGACAGGACACUAGACAGAUAGCGUGGAGCCGCAACCCUGACAAGAUAGAGGGAGAGAUUGAUAUCAGGGAGAUCAGGGAGCUGCGGUUGGGUAAAGGUUCCCGGGACUUUGAGCGUUAUCCAGAGGAGGCUCGUAAAUUAGACUCCGCCCACUGCUUCAUCGUGCUCUACGGACUGGAGUUCCGCCUCAAAACACUCAGUGUGGCCGCCUUCAGUGAGGAGGAGGUCAAUAUGUGGAUCACUGGAAUCAACUGGCUGAUGAUGGAUACUCAGAGAGCCUCAGCACCACAACAGAUAGACCGGUGGCUGAGGAGACAAUUUGAGGUGAUGGACAGGAAUCGUGAGGGAAGUAUCACAGUAAAGGAUGUGAAGGCCCUGUUACCUCAUAUCAACUACAGAGUCCCCAACAUGCGCUUCCUCAAAGACAAGCUACAGGAAGUGGAAGCCAGGUGUGAUCUCUCCUUCCCUCACUUUGCUCAGCUCUACAGAACAUUGAUGUUCGACGCACAGAGGAGUAUCAUUGAGCAGCUGGAGCUCUCUUUCCCCCUCCGGAAUGUGGACAGACCAGAGCUGUGUCAGAUCUCUUUUUACGACUUCCAGAAGUUUCUACAGCUGGAUCAGAAGGAGUCAUGGGCGUCGGACCUGAGCCGCGUCAGAGAGUUCCUAACGGGCUACUUGAGGGGUGGAGCACAGACCGAACCUAUGCUACAGCUAGAUGAGUUCCUGACGUUCCUGUACUCCAAGGAGAACUCAUUGUGUGACCCUCGACCUGCUGUUGUUGUCUCUGACGACAUGAAGAGACCCCUGUCUCAGUACUGGAUUUCCUCAUCACACAACACGUAUCUGACAGGUGAUCAGUUCUCCAGUGAGUCAUCUCUAGAGGCCUACGCUCGUUGCCUGAGGAUGGGCUGUCGCUGCAUAGAACUUGAUUGCUGGGAUGGGCCUGAUGACCUGCCAAUCAUCUACCAUGGCCACACUCUCACCUCCAAGAUCAAAUUCCUGGAUGUGCUGCACACCAUCAAAGAGCAUGCCUUUGUCACUUCAGAGUACCCAGUGAUUCUGUCCAUUGAGGACCACUGUAGUGUGGUCCAACAAAGGAACAUGGCUACUCACUUUAAGAAGGUGUUUGGAGAUCUGCUGCUGACCAAACCAGUGGACCUGAAUGCAGAUGAGCUGCCCUCGCCCUACCAGCUACGCAGGAAGAUACUCAUCAAGCACAAGAAACUGGUGGAGGGCUCUUUGUAUGAAGAGGUGACGUCAGCCAGCUACUCUGAGGCUGACAUCAGUAACUCCCUCAGGAAUGGCAUUCUCUACCUGGAAGACCCCAUAGACCACACAUGGACUCCCCACUACUUUGUUCUGAGCAGUAAUAAGAUCUACUACUCGGAGGAGACUUCUCACUACCAGACUGCCGAGGAAGAGGAGGAGGAGGAGGAAGAGGAGGGUGUGAGGGGGAAAGAGGAGUGUAACAACAAUGAGCAGCACUGUGCAGAGCGCUGGUUCCAUGGGAAGCUGGGAGGGGGGCGGGAUGGGAGACAGGUUGCUGAGAAACUGCUGCAGGAGUACUGUGAGGGCGGGGGCAAGGAUGGGACCUUCCUGGUCCGAGAGAGUGAGACCUUCGUAGGAGACUACACUCUCUCCUUUUGGCGAUCUGGGCGUGUGCAGCACUGUAGGAUCCAUUCCCGCCAGGAGUCUGGCUCCACCCGCUACUACCUGACUGACAACUUGGUGUUUGACAGCCUGUAUAGACUCAUCUGCCACUACAGAGACACGCCCCUACGCUGCAACGAGUUUGAGAUGAGGCUGGGCAGCCCUGUACCACAGCCCAACGCACACGAGAGCAGAGAGUGGUUCCACUCCAGUCUUUCUCGUGUCCAGGCUGAACACAUGUUGAUGAGGGUACCCAGAGACGGGGCCUACCUGCUCCGCAAACGCAGCGAUAUCAACUCCUACGCUAUCUCCUUCAGGGCGGAGGGUAAGAUCAAACACUGUCGUAUCCAGCAGGAGGGCCGUAUGUUCAUGUUGGGUAGCUCAGCAGAGUUCGAGAGUCUGGUUGACUUGGUCAGCUACUAUGAGAAACACCCCCUGUACCGCAAAAUGAGGCUGCGCUACCCCAUCAACGAAGACACACUGGACCGCAUGGGCACCACGGAGCUAGACUAUGGAGCGUUGUAUGAAGUCAGGACCCCACAUUUCUACGUAGAGGCUAACAAGAUGCCCACGGCUCGGUGUACGGUCAAGGCCCUGUAUGAUUACAGAGCCCAGAGGGACGAUGAGCUGUGUUUCCCCAAACAGGCCCUCAUCCUCAGCGUGGACAAGCAGGAAGGAGGCUGGUGGCGAGGUGAUUACGGAGGGAAGAAGCAGCUGUGGUUUCCUGCCAACUACGUAGAAGAAGUCCCCAACUCACCCGCCCGCGAGACAGGAGACGAGGCAUCUACAGAGAACAGUCCACUAGGAACAUUUCUCAAGGGCUUCAUCGAUGUGCCCACCUGCCACGUAGUGGUUCAGAAGGAUGGGAAGAGUUCCAGGCCAUAUGUGUUCACCGUCCACUCCCAGCAGAUGUCAAUUCACCCUGGCCAGGCACUGGACAUUGCUUCAGACACCCUGGAGGACCUGACCGGUUGGGUGGGGAAGAUCAGAGAGGCCACACAGAACGCAGACGCACGGAUGCAGGAAGAGAAGCAGAUGGAGAGGAGGAAGAAAAUCGCGCUGGAGCUCUCUGAGCUGGUGGUCUACUGUAGACCUGUCCCCUUCAACGAAGAGAAGAUCGGGACUGAGCGGGCAUGUUUCCGGGAUAUGUCAUCAUUCCCAGAGACCAAGGCAGAGAAGUUUGCCACGCGGGCAAGAGGGAAGCGCUUCCUGCAGUAUAACCGUCGCCAGCUCUCCAGGGUCUACCCCAGAGGACAGAGACUAGACUCCUCUAACUACGACCCUUUACCCAUGUGGCUGUGUGGAUCCCAGCUGGUUGCUCUCAACUUCCAGACUCCUGACAAGCCCAUGCAGUUGAACCAGGCUCUAUUCAUGCUGGGUGGGGGGAGUGGCUUCGUGCCCCAGCCUGACAUCAUGAGGGAUGACACCUUUGACCCCUUUGACAAGGAGACCCUCCACCUGGAGCCAAUCACCAUCCAGCUACAGGUACUGGGAGCUCGUCACCUCCCUAAGAAUGGCCGCAGUAUAGUGUGCCCCUUUGUAGAGGUUGAGGUGUGUGGGGCCGACUACGACUGCAGCAAGAGCAAGACCGACGUCGUGGCUGACAAUGGGUUGAACCCAGUGUGGGUUCAGAGGCAGUUUGUGUUUGACGUCCAUAAUCCGUCCUUCUCCUUCCUGCGUUUCUUGGUCUAUGAGGAGGACAUGUUUUCUGACCCCAACUUCCUGGCUCAGGCAAUCUACCCUGUCCGCUCACUAAGAACAGGCUACAGGAGUGUUCCCCUAAAGAACAGUUACAGUGAAGAGUUGGAGCUGGCUUCUCUGCUGGUUCACAUUGAGAUUGUCAACGCCAAGGAGGAAGAUGAUCAGAACCUGUACUCGUCCAUCCAAAGGCUGAGAGACCGCACCAGUGAGCUGUCCAAUCAGGUGUCAGUUCUGGAGAGGGCGGGGUCAGGAGGUGACCACAGCUAUCAGCAGAGUCUGGAGGAACUGAGAGCAGCACAAGAUCAGCUCAGUGAACUAGUGGAGACACGCAACCACAGGCUGAUUGAGAAGAAGAGGAGGGAGAAGUUGAGGCAGCAAGUGGGGGCCAAGCGGAACUAAAAUGCCCAUCUGACCACCAACCAACCAGUCCCCCUCUACUGCUGCACACUGAUGAUCUUACACCCAUGGAAAGACAAUUCAAUCUACCAAUAACUGGAUUACCCCUGCUAUAAGUGUGCAUAGACUACACAGAGAUGCACAGUGUGUUGGAUAAAAAGAGACAAAAAAAAAAAACACUCAUCUCAUGGAACAAAAACCUUCAGAAAUGGAACAUAGAAUGAGAAAAGGGUUAUAAAAUAAUUCAGUGUUCUGAACAGCGAAGUCAGAUAAACUGAACUGACCUGAGAGUAGCAGUGUUCUAAUCUAUAAGGAGAAUACACAGGAUAUGUAUCCCAAGUGGCACCCGAUUCCAUAUAUAGUGCACUACCUUUGACCAGGGCCCAUAGGGGUGUGGUGCACUACUGUAGAUAGGGAAUAGGGUGCCAUUUGGGAUACAACCAUAGCCUCUAAGAGAGUAAGGUAGUGUCAGUGAGUCAACCAUUAGUAUAGGCAUAAUCCAGACUCUAAAUCUCUCCAUGCUAGAACUGGUCUCACAACUGAAAACUGGAAUAAUAUUAUUUUAUUGACCACAGAUGAGCUAUGAGAGUGAGAAUCUACUAUCUUGGCCGUGGCACAAAAAUGGCUAAAGAGAGAAAAUGGGAACCACUACUCAUGGACUGACUUUGAAAGGGCUUUUAAAUGGGAGCAGGACCAAGUCUUUUCCUCAAAGACUAAAGUCUUCUUCUCCUAUCCUGGGGCAGCAGACUGACUAACAGCAGGGACUGGAGUCUAAUGCCCUCUAGUGGUAGGGAUGUGGUGUUGUUUCCAAAAAUAGACCCCUCUUCCUUUACCUGGGAGAGCAUGAACAGGACUUUUAUUACUGUGUUCAUUAGAGACGUACUAACACUGCAUGUCAUAUUGUCAUGUAUUUUUAAAGGGCUUUUCAGUAUACUAUAAUAUACUAAAAUAUACUAUAAUAUAAUACACUACCGUUUAAGGAGCAAGAGGAGAAGCAGAGCAGUAGAAAGAGAGAGGGGGGAGGGAGGGAGAGAGAGAGAGAGAGAGAGAGAGAGGGGGUAGAAAGAGAGAGUGUACCAGAAAUAUAAGUAAUCUCUCACCACAGGACUCUGUCUUGAACCUAUAGGUUUUCUUCAGGUCUGUGUUUCCUGGCUAUGCUGAUCGGAUCAGAGAAACAUGGUGUGGGUUUCAAAUGUCACCCCGUUCUCUAUAUAGUGCACACCUUUUGACCAGAGCCCCUAAUCAAAAGUAGUGCACUGGGGAAUAGGGUGCCAUUUGGGAUGCAACAAUGGCAAACAAGGGCUAUCUAUAACUUUGACCUUACUGCAACUUGUCACAUUUACAGAUCCUACCCACCAAGUUGUUGUUAAAGGAAAAAUCCACUCAAAAACUACACUGAACACAAAUAUAAAAGCAACAUGCAACAAUUUCAAAGAUUUUACUGAGUUACAGUUCAUAUAAGGAAUUCUGUCAAUUGAAAUAAAUAAAUGAGGCCCUAAUCUAUGGAUUUCACAUGACUGGGCAGGAGUGCAGCCAUGGGAGUGGCUGGGAGGGCAUAGGUCCACCUACUGUGGAGCCAGUCCCAGCCAUGGGCGGGGCUGGGAGGGCAUAGGUCCACCUACUGGGGAGCCAGUCCCAGCCAUGGGCGGGGCUGGGAGGGCAUAGGUCCACCUACUGGGGAGCCAGUCCCAGCCAUGGGCGGGGCUGGGAGGGCAUAGGUCC